rnacentral:rRNA from 1 species
UUUGAUCAUGGCUCAGGAUGAACGCUGGCGGCGUGCUUAACACAUGCAAGUCGAACGAUGAAGCCCAGCUUGCUGGGUGGAUUAGUGGCGAACGGGUGAGUAACACGUGAGUAACCUGCCCUUAACUCUGGGAUAAGCCUGGGAAACUGGGUCUAAUACCGGAUAGGAGCGUCCACCGCAUGGUGGGUGUUGGAAAGAUUUAUCGGUUUUGGAUGGACUCGCGGCCUAUCAGCUUGUUGGUGAGGUAAUGGCUCACCAAGGCGACGACGGGUAGCCGGCCUGAGAGGGUGACCGGCCACACUGGGACUGAGACACGGCCCAGACUCCUACGGGAGGCAGCAGUGGGGAAUAUUGCACAAUGGGCGCAAGCCUGAUGCAGCGACGCCGCGUGAGGGAUGACGGCCUUCGGGUUGUAAACCUCUUUCAGUAGGGAAGAAGCGAAAGUGACGGUACCUGCAGAAGAAGCACCGGCUAAUACGUGCCAGCAGCCGCGGUAAUACGUAGGGUGCGAGCGUUAUCCGGAAUUAUUGGGCGUAAAGAGCUCGUAGGCGGUUUGUCGCGUCUGUCGUGAAAGUCCGGGGCUUAACCCCGGAUCUGCGGUGGGUACGGGCAGACUAGAGUGCAGUAGGGGAGACUGGAAUUCCUGGUGUAGCGGUGGAAUGCGCAGAUAUCAGGAGGAACACCGAUGGCGAAGGCAGGUCUCUGGGCUGUA